UAAAUCGUACCCCAAACCGACACAGGUGGUCAGGUAGAGAAUACCAAGGCGCUUGAGAGAACUCGGGUGAAGGAACUAGGCAAAAUGGUGCCGUAACUUCGGGAGAAGGCACGCUGGUGUGUAGGUGAAGUCCCUGCGGAUGGAGCUGAGACCAGUCGAAGAUACCAGCUGGCUGCAACUGUUUAUUAAAAACACAGCACUGUGCAAACACGAAAGUGGACGUAUACGGUGUGACGCCUGCCCGGUGCCGGAAGGUUAAUUGAUGGGGUUAUCCGUAAGGAGAAGCUCUUGAUCGAAGCCCCGGUAAACGGCGGCCGUAACUAUAACGGUCCUAAGGUAGCGAAAUUCCUUGUCGGGUAAGUUCCGACCUGCACGAAUGGCGUAAUGAUGGCCAGGCUGUCUCCACCCGAGACUCAGUGAAAUUGAACUCGCUGUGAAGAUGCAGUGUACCCGCGGCAAGACGGAAAGACCCCGUGAACCUUUACUAUAGCUUGACACUGAACAUUGAGCCUUGAUGUGUAGGAUAGGUGGGAGGCUUUGAAGCGUGGACGCCAGUCUGCGUGGAGCCAACCUUGAAAUACCACCCUUUAAUGUUUGAUGUUCUAACGUUGGCCCCUGACCGGGGUUGCGGACAGUGUCUGGUGGGUAGUUUGACUGGGGCGGUCUCCUCCCAAAGCGUAACGGAGGAGCACGAAGGUUAGCUAAUCCUGGUCGGACAUCAGGAGGUUAGUGCAAUGGCAUAAGCUAGCUUGACUGCGAGCGUGACGGCGCGAGCAGGUGCGAAAGCAGGUCAUAGUGAUCCGGUGGUUCUGAAUGGAAGGGCCAUCGCUCAACGGAUAAAAGGUACUCCGGGGAUAACAGGCUGAUACCGCCCAAGAGUUCAUAUCGACGGCGGUGUUUGGCACCUCGAUGUCGGCUCAUCACAUCCUGGGGCUGAAGUAGGUCCCAAGGGUAUGGCUGUUCGCCAUUUAAAGUGGUACGCGAGCUGGGUUUAGAACGUCGUGAGACAGUUCGGUCCCUAUCUGCCGUGGGCGCUGGAGAAUUGAGGGGGGCUGCUCCUAGUACGAGAGGACCGGAGUGGACGCAUCACUGGUGUUCGGGUUGUCAUGCCAAUGGCACUGCCCGGUAGCUAAAUGCGGAAGAGAUAAGUGCUGAAAGCAUCUAAGCACGAAACUUGCCCCGAGAUGAGUUCUCCCUGAGACUUUAAGUCUCCUGAAGGAACGUUGAAGACGACGACGUUGAUAGGCCGGGUGUGUAAGCGCAGCGAUGCGUUGAGCUAACCGGUACUAAUGAACCGUGAGGCUUAACCUUACAACGCCGAAG
rnacentral:rRNA from 1 species